rnacentral:rRNA from 1 species
UACGAAGGGUGCAAGCGUUACUCGGAAUUACUGGGCGUAAAGCGUGCGUAGGUGGUGAGUUAAGUCUGUCGUGAAAGCCCGGGCUCAACCUGGGAAUGGCGAUGGAUACUGGCUCGCUAGAGUGCGGUAGAGGAGGAGUGGAAUUCCCGGUGUAGCAGUGAAAUGCGUAGAGAUCGGGAGGAACAUCAGUUGCGAAGGCGGCUCUCUGGACCAGCACUGACACUGAGGCACGAAAGCUAGGGGAGACGGAACGGGAACUUAGA